rnacentral:miRNA from 1 species
CAUGGUGACUAAGAAGGAGGGAGGGAGGGAGGGAGAGAGAGAGAGAGAUAUGAUAUGAGAUAGAGAUAAUAUUUUAUCUCUCUCUCUCUCUCUCUCUCUCUCUAUAUAUAUAUAUAUAU